GCGCUGGCGGCAGGUCCAACACAUGCAAGUCGAGCGGUAGCAGAGAAGCUUGCUUCUCUUGACAGCGGCGGACGGGUGAGUAAUGCCUAGGAAUCUGCCUGGUAGUGGGGGAUAACGUUCGGAAACGGACGCUAAUACCGCAUACGUCCUACGGGAGAAAGCAGGGGACCUUCGGGCCUCGCGCUAUCAGAUGAGCCUAGGUCGGAUUAGCUAGUUGGUGGGGUAAUGGCUCACCAAGGCGACGAUCCGUAACUGGUCUGAGAGGAUGAUCAGUCACACUGGAACUGAGACACGGUCCAGACUCCUACGGGAGGCAGCAGUGGGGAAUAUUGGACAAUGGGCGCAAGCCUGAUCCAGCCAUGCCGCGUGUGUGAAGAAGGUCUUCGGGUUGUAAAGCACUUUAAGUUGGGAGGAAGGGCAUUAACCUAAUACGUUAGUGUUUUGACGUUACCGACAGAAUAAGCACCGGCUAACUCUGUGCCAGCAGCCGCGGUAAUACAGAGGGUGCAAGCGUUAAUCGGAAUUACUGGGCGUAAAGCGCGCGUAGGUGGUUUGUUAAG
rnacentral:rRNA from 1 species